AUAUAUUAUUAAAUGUUUUACCAAAGUCAUUAUACCAGCUUAUACUCUCAUCAAUAAAUGUAUGAGAGUUCCCCAUUGUUCUGCAACCUUGAUAUUAACUUCCUAUUAACUUUCACUCACUUAUAAAAAUUUACACAAUCAUCUGAGAUGAAAACUGACAUUAUGAAUUACUGCAAUACUAUAAAAUUAUUCAAAAUAGGCUUCCUGAGGUUGGUUAGUUUUCAGGCAUAAAAUAGUAAGAAUGGCUAAUAUAUACUGAAUAUGCACUGCUUGCUAGGCAUAUUUGGGAUAGUUUAUGUAGGCUACCUCAUUUGAUCAUCACUAUACCUCUGUGAAGUAGAUACUGUUAUUCCCAUUUUAUGGAUGAGAAAUUUGUAGCAUAGAGAGACAUACUUUUAAAGACCUGGCUAGAAGCACCUGUACAGACUAGUUAAUGCAACUGCUUAUUGUAGAGACAAAACCAGUUCAGAGAGCAGGCUGCAUCAUAUGAAGGAAGAUCACUCAGUUUGUUAGAGGUAGAAUCUGGAUUGACAUCCAGAUAUCCUAACUUCUUGUGUGGCAUUGAUAACAAAUCAGCAGUGUACAAACUAUAUAAUAUUAACAACAAUGAAAACAAACACUCUUGAAAAAGUACUUCAUUCCUUCAGAAUUUACUUAUUACAGUUUUGGUUUGUGGAAUAAAUUCACCAUGUUCUAAAAUAAUUUUAACAAUUUUAAAUAAUUGUCAAGCAAGGUUGUAUAAAAAAAGGAUUCAUGUUUUGUGGUGCCAUAAGCUUAUACAACUAGGGAGAACUCAUUAAGAAAAAUAACAGGGGUGCCUGGGUGGCUCAGUCAGUUAAGCAUCCGACUUCAGCUCAGGUCAUGAUCUCAUGGUUCAUGAGUUCAAGCCCUACAUUGGGUUCUCUCCUGUCAGCGCGGGGCACACUGAAUCCUCUGUCCUCCUCCUUCUCUGCCCCUCCCCUGCUUGCUCUCUUUCUCUCUCUCCCUAUCUCUCAAAAAUAAAUAAACAUUAAAAAAAAGAGCAUAAAAAAAUCUUUUGCCAAUACUACAAAAAACAUGUGAACGUAUUGCUAGAUCCUAUUGAUACACAGCCUUAUAUAUGAAGAUUUCCCCCUUCUUAUCCCCCUCUUCUGGUAUUCAUGCCCUGGUGUACCUCCUCUCUCGUAUUGCAUUGAGGUUGGUCUGUGAGACCAACAGAAUUAGGUAGCAGUGAUGUCAGUUUGGAGGCUAGGUUAUAAAGGGCAUUAUGACUUUUACCCCUCUCUCCCAGAUCAUUCACUCUGGGGGAACUCAGCUUCCAUGUCUUGAGAACCAUCAGACAACCCUGUGGAUUAGACCAUGCAGUGACAAACUGAAGCCUCCAGCCCACAGCUAUGAUUACCAUUUCAGAAGUGGAUCCUCCAGCCCUGGUCAAGCCUUUAAAUAACUGCAUUUUUGGCUGACAGCUUAAUAUUCUGAGCCAGAGCCACUCAGAGAAGCAGCUCCCAGAUUUCAGACUCUCAGGAAUUGUGUGAGAUAAUAAGCAGCCUUAACUAUCAUGGCUGUAGGUCAUGCCUGUCCAACCACAAGCCACAUUGUGCAGCCUCCUUUGCUGCGGAGUGUUUCAUGUGACUGAGCUCUUGAUACUGGAAUGCAUCAGAAGCUAUUUGUGCCCUUCUGGACUAUGCUUUCAAGGGACUAGACAUUGUGCGCCUUUCCUCCUUCUUAUGGGCCAGGAUGGUGACAAGCAGAGUGACCUUAGAAGCCACAUGUUUAGGAUGACAGAAACUCUGUUCUGCCAAGUCCCUGAAUGACCUGGAGUUCAUGGAGCUGAACCCUUCCAAGCUGGAACACCCCUCUGAACCAUUUUGUUAGAGAGAAAUAAAGCUUCUAUUAUGUUUGAAUGAUUAUAUUUUAAGGUCUAUGUUUUCCAACAAGGGAAGGUGUGACUGAACAUGAUGGCACAUUCAAGACUAGACUGAACAUGGCAGCCGAGCCCAAAAAAAGAAAAUGAGAGGAAGAGUCAGCAUCUGAAGAGAGAUGACUGAAGUUCUUCUAAUGGCGAUUACUAUGUGAAGAUGUCACAGGGCAUCAUGACAUCCACAGGAAAAAGAAAUUUCUGUCUCUGCUGGCUUCUGGGACCACUCUGCUGUACUUCCUCGAUCCUCUGCCAAAGUCCCACCUCCAAAUUGGAAUCUAAAAUGGGGAUUUCACACUUCUCUGUUAUUAAUUUCUCUCUUCUCUUUCCUCCGUUUCCUGGUGCUAACAUGUAAAAGAAUAAUGACUAAUAUGGGGCACCUGGGUGGCUCAUUUGGGUGAGCAUCCGACUUUGGCUCAGAUCACUAUCUCUCAGUUCAUGAGUCUGAGCUCUGCAUCAGCUCUGCUGUCAGUGCAGGGCCUAUUUCAGAUCCUCUGUCCCCCUCUCUCUCUGCCCCUCCCCCACUCAUUCUCUGUCUCUCUCUCUCUCUCUCUCUCCCCCUCUCUGUCCCUCAAAAAAGAAAGAAUAAUGACUAAUAUAUAGCAGUAUAUAAUUGAACAGUUGUGUUUGAGGAGUUCAAAGAAAGGGACAAUCAAGAAAGAUCCAUGGAAGAAUUGAAAAGGAAGCUCAACCUGGACAGAAGGAUGUCAUCUGGCCAGGCAGAUAAUAGCAUAUGUUUCUGACCAAAGCAGCCUCUUGGGCAAAGGUCCAGAAGCAGGACAAGUGGAGAGACAGGUCUGAGAGAGGGGUGUGUGCUGGAGAGAAAGGAAGAAGGAAGAUGGAACAGGUAAGGUCAGACUAGAGGGCCAGGCAGAGCUCAGAGUGGAUUUAGUAAGACGUGGGAAGGUGCUGAAGGUUUUAUAGUGAUUACAGGCUUGUUUCAGGCAGAUUAGUUAGGCAAUGGAGUGUGCGAGAUGGCUUGACAGUGGAGGCCACCCAGCAGGCUGUUCUGGAAAUUCAAAUCUGCACAAGCCAGUACUGGGUUCCUUCUUACAGCCUGAAAUGCAUUUAAUUCAUAAUCUAAGACAUCCUUAGAUAUUACCUCAAUGAGUCUGGGCAAGCUGGGCCACAUCAUGUUCUGACUUUCUUAUAUUGAAGCCAUCUAAAAAUCACUUUUAUUUUCAAUACUUUAUAUGUAAUUGUUCAAAGUGAUUUUAAAUAAAGUCUUUUCAAGCUUACACAUCUAUUCUUUCCAUUUUACAGGGUUGGAACUAGCCUUUUAUUUCCUUGCAUCACCUCACCUUCUCAUCCCUCCAAGCCUUUUCUUUCCUGCCUCA